UAAGUAAGCUUUGAUCCAGAGAUUUCCGAAUGGGGAAACCCAGCAUGAGUUAUGUCAUGUUAUCGAUAUGUGAAUACAUAGCAUAUCAGAAGGCACACCCGGAGAACUGAAACAUCUUAGUACCCGGAGGAAGAGAAAGAAAAUUCGAUUCCCUUAGUAGCGGCGAGCGAAACGGGAAGAGCCCAAACCAACAAGCUUGCUUGUUGGGGUUGUAGGACACUCUAUACGGAGUUACAAAGGACGACAUUAGACGAAUCAUCUGGAAAGAUGAAUCAAAGAAGGUAAUAAUCCUGUAGUCGAAAAUG
rnacentral:rRNA from 1 species